CUCCUCCUCCUCCUCCCAGGAGCCCCACACACUCACAGCUGCUGCUUCUCACCUCUGCCAAGCUUCCCCAGAGGGCAAGAGCCUGGGAUUCUGGAAGCCCGGCCUAAUCUGGACAAGACCUCAGGUUCUUCAGCUCCUGCUGCUGCUAUUGGGUGAGAGCGGGCUGAGACCAUGAAUUGGCUGUUUUGCAAGACCAGCUCCUUCACUGGAUAGUUCUGUUUCGCCAGCUUCCACUUCAGAGGAGGCUGGCAAAUAUGCUGUGACUCCUACCAAGACAGAAAACUCGGAAAUGGAGAACAGGAACAAGACAGAAGUUCCUAUGUGCUGCCUGCCCAGAUCUGAGUGGGCCUUACCAUGAGUGACCCUGGGAACAGGGCCAGAGUCAUACUGACCUGAUGCAAACCAGGGAACCAUCCCCUCAUGUGCUCUGUGUCCAUAGGCAGGUUGCUAGACUUCUCUGAACCUGUUUCCUGACAGUGCCCAUCGUAAAUAGUUCAUGGGAUCAAUAAGGAUGAUGGACGCUAAAACCACAUGCCUGGCACAGACCCACCUCCAAAAGUGAUAGCUUUUAUUAUUCUCGUUAUUCUAGAAAAUGUCUUUGUGAGUUGUUUGCUUGAUGAUUGAAACCAUGUUUCUUUUUAAUAAAAUCUUGAUUUAAAAAA